UACGAAGGGGGCUAGCGUUGUUCGGAAUUACUGGGCGGAAAGCGCGCGCAGGCGGUCCUUCAAGUCAGAGGUGAAAGCCCAGAGCUCAACUCUGGAAUGGCCUUUGAGACUAGAGGACUUGGGUACGGGAGAGGUGAGUGGAAUUCCGAGUGUAGAGGUGAAAUUCGUAGAUAUUCGGAAGAACACCAGUGGCGAAGGCGGCUCACUGGCCCGUUACCGACGCUCAGGCGCGACAGCGUGGGGAGCAAACAGG
rnacentral:rRNA from 1 species